UCUUCCGCAAUGGACGAAGGUCUGACGGAGCAACGCCGCGUGAGUGAUGAAGGUUUUUGGAUUGUAAAACUCUGUUGUCAGUGAAGAACAAGUACCGUUCGAAUAGGGCGGUUCCUUGACGGUACCUAACCAGAAAGCCACGGCUAACUACGUGCCAGCAGCCGCGGUAAUACGUAGGUGGCAAGCGUUGUCCGGAAUUAUUGGGCGUAAAGCGCGCGCAGGCGGUUUCUUAAGUCUGAUGUGAAAGCCCCCGGCUCAACCGGGGAGGGUCAUCGGAAACUGGGGAACUUGAGUGCAGAAGAGGAGAGUGGAAUUCCACGUGUAGCGGUGAAAUGCGUAGAGAUGUGGAGGAACACCAGUGGCGAAGGCGACUCUCUGGUCUGUAACUGACGCUGAGGCGCGAAAGCGUGGGGAGCGAACAG
rnacentral:rRNA from 1 species